UCUCCUGUAGCUCAGCGCUAGAGCGUCCGACCGGUGUGCGGAAGGUCAUGGAUUCGAUUACUCUUGGAAGAA